rnacentral:rRNA from 1 species
CAAUAGCGUAUAUUAAAGUUGUUGCAGUUAAAAAGCUCGUAGUUGAAUUUCUGGUGUGGCGCGCCCGGCCCUCUGCGGAAACGCAUGUGUGUGCUGGUUUGCGUGCCUACCAUCCUCGCCGUGAGUGACACUUUCGGGUGUCUCGACCGGUGACUUUUACUUUGAAGAAAUUAGAGUGUUCAAGGCAGGCGUUUGCUCUGAAUACAUUAGCAUGGAAUAAUAAUCUAGGACUUUAGUCCUAUUUUGUUGGUCUCUAGGACUGAAGUAAUGAUUGAUAGGGAUAGUUGGGGGUGCUCGUAUUGAGUGGCCAGAGGUGAAAUUCUUGGAUUCACUCAAGACGAACUAAUGCGAAAGCAUUCACCAAGGAUAUCUNCUUUAA